GGGGGUGGGGGGGGAUAAGAUGGUCAUUUUGCCAUGAUCUAGCAACAAUUUUUUUUGAUAUGGUCAUCGUUCAGGGACGAUGGAAUUUACAUUUUUCCCUUACGGUUUUUUAUUAAAGCAUAUCCAAUCCUGGUAAAAUUAUCAUUUUGCCCACAUUUAUGUAUUUUUUUAAUAAACCACAAUGACAAAGUUUUGUAAUAUAUUUUUGGAAAUGGAUGCCAAAGCUGCAGCAAUAGAUGCCAAACAACAACAAAUUGAUGCAAAAUAUGAAGCAACGGAGAAGAUGUAUGCAGCCUUGCAAAAUAUGAUGGGAAAUUGAAAAUUAGAGGUAAUAUGAUGUUAACCAUUAGUAUUUGAUGUUUUUGAAUGACUUGUUAACCUUUUGUAUUUGAUACUUUUGAUUGUUUUGAAUAAUGUUUUAUAGGAAUGUGUUAUGAACUUACUGACUUGAUAAAUAGAACACAGUAAUGACAACGGAAUCAACUUUCUAUUACGCAAUGUUCAAAGAAACAACAGGGACAAAUAAGAACAAUUGGAAACAAAUGAAGAACAGGAUAGAUAUAGCGAUUCGAGAUGCUAUGGUCUCCCAAAAGAAGAUGAAUCUUCUAAAAAUAUUCUGCCUGCCUAAAAUGCGCUGCCCCCCACUUCUUAUAACCGCACUGCCCACUUUGGCUGUUAAUUCCCAAUAUACCCCUGAUCUUCCUCCACCUCAGCAGGAUCAUUGUGAUUGGUAGUGGUCCCCUGCCCUUUGAGCAUCUUUUUCUGUUUUCUCCUUUUGUACGUGAAUUGUAGUGGUGGGUGCACCACAUUACUCUGCCCCCAAAGAAGGACCUUGUCCUCAAGGUCAAAGUCGGGAAAUGUGCCAUUAACAGUUUGGAAAUCCUCCCAGGUGGCGUCAAAUUCUGGCACCCCCUUCCAUUUGAUUAAAACCUCUAUUCUUUGACCCAUCUCUUCUCUCAUGGAUCGAACUCCCAUCAGUUUUCUGGUUCCCACUUGAGCCUCAAGUCGUCUGUUAAGUCAAUUGGCAGUUCUGGGUGAGCGGGCUGGUUACCGAUGGCCUUCUUUAGUUGUGAGACAUGAAAAACUGGAUGUAUUCUAGCUGUGUCCGGUAAUUGUAGGUGGUAUGCGACAGCCCCAAUUUUCUUAUGGAUCAAAAACGGUCCAUAAAAUCUAGCCACCAGCUUUUGAAAGGGGUGGUUGGUUACCGAUCUUUGUCUAUAAGGUUGCAAUUUUAAGUAAACUGAGUCCCCUUCCGCAUAAGACACCUCUCUCUGAUGUUUAUCAGCUUGGGUCUUCAUCCGUUGUUGAGCUUGCAAUAAAUGGCCUUUAAGCUCAUCCAAGAUGGCAUCUCUCUCCAUGAGUUGAUCUUCCAUGGCUGAUACCCCUGUUUGCCCUGUCUGCGCCCGAAUUAUUCACGGUGGGUCACGACCAUAUAAAGCCUUAAAGGGAGUGGUUUUGCUGGUGGUGUGGUAAGAGGUGUUAUGCCAGAAUUCUGCCCAAGGCAACCACUGUGACCAUGAACGCGGUUUUCCCUGAAUGAAACACCGUAAGUACAACCCGAUGGACUUGUUGACAAUCUCUGUUUGCCCAUCUGUUUGUGGGUGGUAGGCCGUGCUCCUCAGCAGCUUCGUUCCUUGAAGUCUAAACAACUCUCGCCAAAAUAAGCUCAUAAAGACCUUGUCCCGGUCCGAGACAAUGGAAGAUGGGAACCCGUGUAGGCGAACGACUUCUUUAAUGAAUAUUGAUGCUAUGGAGGUGUCGGUAAAGGGAUGCUUGAUUGCUAUAAAGUGAGCGUAUUUGGUGAGGCGAUCAAUCACCACCAAAAUAGCAUUGUAACCGUGCGAAUUAGGAAGGCCUUCUAUAAAAUCCAUGGACAACUCGUCCCAAACUUGGGUUGGAAUGGGCAACGGUUGUAGGAGACCUGCCGGGUGGGUUGUUAAAGCUUUUUGUGUUUGGCACAAGGCACAUGUUUGGAUAUGCUUCUGGACACUCUUUUUCAUUCCCACCCAAUACCAUUCAGCUGCUAGCCUCUGAUACGUUCGAAGUUCUCCUGCAUGUCCGCCUACUACGGAGUCAUGGAAUUCAUUUAACAACUUAGGAAUCAACUCAGAUUUUUGGGGUAUGACCAACCUACCCUUAUACAACAGCCUUCCCUUGUCCACGGUAUAACCCACGUGAUGUUUCCCUUCAUCCGUUAUGUCUUUUUUAACUUGUUGAAUGAACGAAUCUUCCGCUAUUUCUUGAUUUAAUUCAUCAACAGGGAAAGUCCAACUAGAGAUAAGAUUGCACAUUUCCAUCUUUGAUUUUGUACAUUCUUGUGAUAGAGCAUUGGCGACUCGAUUGGCAACUCCUGGUUUGUACUAAAUCUCAAAGUCAAACCCCAAAAGUUUAUACAUCCACUUUUGGUAUUCCGGGCCUACCUCCCGUUGUUCCAUCAAGUACUUAAGACUACGUUGGUCCAUUCGGAUCAAAAAGUGUCGACCCAUUAAGUAGUGCCUCCACCUUUUAACAGCCAAGACAAUGGCCAUCAGCUCCUUUUCAUAAAUUGAUUUCAAUCGAUUUUUAACCCCAAGAACUUGGCUGUAAAAGGCAAUUGGAUGUCGAUCUUGUAACAAAACUGCCCCUAAACCUUUUCCGGACGCAUCUGUUUCAAUGAUAAAGAGUUUGGAGAAAUCUGGCAUGGCGAGGACCGGUGCUUGUCGGAGGGCUGACUUGAGGUUGUUAAAAGCCUUUGUGGCUAGUGGUGACCAAUCAAAGCAAUCCUUGCGUAACUGAUCCGUCAUUGGCGCCACCAUGCUAGCAUAACCGGCGAUAAACUUCCGGUAAUAUCCGGUGAGGCCCAAAAAACCCCUGAGUUCCCGUAGAGUUUUUGGGAUUGGCCAAUCUUUUAUCGCCUUGAUCUUCUCCGGGUCUACAGCCACUCCAUGCAUUGAGAUGAUGUGGCCCAGAUAUGCUAUUUCUUUUCUGCCCCAUUCGCAUUUAUUUGGAUUCGCAUAAAACUCGUGUUUUUGUAAUGUUUUCAAUACCGUCCUCAAAUGGGAAAGGUGUUGACCUUCAUCACGUCUAUAAAUUAAGAUGUCGUCAAAGAAGACCAACACAAAUUUCCAAAGAUAGGGUCGGAAAAUUUCAUUCAUGACUGACUGGAAGGUGGUGGGGGCGUUGGUAAGGCCGAAGGGCAUGCCCCUAAACUCAUAGUGUCCUUCGUGUGUUCUGAAGGCUGUUUUUGGGGUAUCUUCUGCUUUCAUGCGGAUUUGAUGAUAACCUGACUUCAGGUCUAGCUUGGAAAAAACUUGUGAUCCAUGUAAUUCGUCUAACAACUCGUCUAUCACCAGUAUUGGGAAGUUGUCCUUAACCGUGACCUUGUUAAGGGCUUGGUAAUCCACACAAAACCUCCAAGAGUUAUCCUUCUUCUUCACCAACAACACUGGACUGGCAAACGGACUAUGGGAUGGCUGGAUGAUACCGGAAGCGAGCAUAUCCUGAAGCAUUGUUUCGAUUUCAGCUUUUUGUGCAUGUGAAUAUCUAUAAGGACGAAUAGAGAUAGGUUCUGUCCCUUCCUUAAGGUUGAUAGCAUGUUGAUAAUUUCUUAACGGGGGAGUUGGGCUAACAGGUAUGUGGAGUUGCUCUACAGUUGCCAGGGAAAGGAAGUUGUGGGUGGCACCAGGGUCAAUGAGCACCACCACCUCUCUAUCAUUAAUCAUUCCUUUGAGUUUGAGAGUUUUUGGAUUGGUGUUACCAGUCACUGAAUGCAAGCAUAUUCCAGAUAGCACUGGUGAUUCCGGAGUGAUUAGAACAGGUUCAUCAUCAGUUUCGUCUGGUCUAUCCCCUUCCUCCAAAUCCUCUUCUUGAAUUAAUAACACACUGAGUUCUUUCUUUUUGCAUCUAUGCCCUACUCCCCAUUUUUCAUCACAUCGAAAGCAGAGCCCUUUGGCUCGUUUUUGCUGCAAAUCCUUGUCAGUUAACCUCCUCAUCUCUCCACCCAACUUGUUGGUAGUCUUUGGCUUAGUGGUUGCAAGGUGGGAAGAUGUUGGUGAAGAGCGAGAAGAAAAGAAAGUUUUCUUAAUCGGAGUGAUUAAGGGCGUGCCGGUUAGGGUUCCCGGAGAAUUGUUCCGAUGAUUAGUGGUGGGAGCGGAUUUCCGAUUUUGCUGGGAUUGGAGCUUACGCUCAACCUUAAUGGCCAAGGCCAUGGCGUGGUCCACUGUGAUUGGGCUCAAGAGCUGGACUUCCGACCUAAUGUCCUCUUGUAGCCCAUUGAUGAAUUGGCCCAGAGUAAUAUCAUCGGGUAUGUUGUUUAGCGGGGCAAGUAACUCGAUAAAAGAUCGCUGAUAUUCUAAAACCGACCCGGUUUGUAUUAGGUCUAACCAUUGCUGGUGCAACGUACCUGCAUUUGUUGGACGGAAUUGACGUAAGAGAAGGGACUUCAUCUCUUGCCAUUUGGUCACUGGACGUCGUUUGUGCUCCCAUUGAAACCACAAUAAAGCGUCGCCCUCAAGGGCUACCACCGCCGCUUCUAGCUUAUCGGCUUCAGAAAGUUUGUAAACGUUGAAGUAACGUUCUGCUCGUAAAAUCCACCCAUCCGGGUUUUCGCCGUCAAACAAUGGCAUAUCCAAUUUCCGAAAUCGCCAAUUCGUCACCCCACCGUACUCGCCUCCCGAAGUUCGGCCGCCUCCGUCCCCAUGUCCACCAGAUCUUCCCAUGCUGCCCUGUCGUGAACCCCCGCUAUCAUCCUUCGGCGUCUCCAACACGGAGAAAACGGGCUCAUCCACAAUCGACUCUUCUCCCGUUUUCUUUCCUUUGAUGACCGCACUCAAAAUCUCUUCAAACUUCUGGUCCAUCUUAAUCUGCAUCGACGCCAGGGAGUCCGCCUGAUGUUGGAUCUGAUGCCCUUGUAUCUCCAUUUGAUCAUUCAGGUGCCCCAACUCUUUUUCCAAUGAUUCCACCCGUUUGAGUGGAGCUCAUCCCGUCUCUUUUCCUCCAACCAUGACCCCAGGGAAAGGCUCUGAUACCAAUUUGUUAUGAACUUACUGACUUGAUAAAUAGAACACAGUAAUGACAACGGAAUCAACUUUCUAUUACACAAUGUUCAAAGAAACAACAGGGACAAAUAAGAACAAUUGGAAACCAAUGAAGAACAGGAUAGAUAUAGCGAUUCGAGAUGCUAUGGUCUCCCAAAAGAAGAUGAAUCUUCUAAAAAUAUUCUGCCUGCCUAAAAUGCUCUGCCCCCCACUUCUUAUAACCGCACUGCCCACUUUGGCUGUUAAUUCCCAAUAUACCCCUGCUAUUCCUCCACUUUAGCAGGAUCAUUGUGAUUGGUAGUGGUCCCCUGCCCUUUGAGCAUCUUUUUCUGUUUUCUCCUUUUGUACGUGAAUUGUAGUGCUGGGUGCACCACAAAAUGAGAAUCGAAGAUGAUUGGAUGGACAUGAAAUGAAGAGAACAGUUAAAAUGUUAUUUUGAAGUUAUGUUUUGUGAAAACUCAUUUCUCGAUGCAUACUUUGGAUUUCUUGGUGCUAAAAUGUUAUUUUGAAGUUAAACCUUUGGGAGUUUGAUGUUAUAUGGAUAGUUUUGGUUUUGGAUGUUUUUUGAAUGAUACUUUGGUAAACUUUGAUAGUUUUGGUAUUGUAAUGUUUGGUUGUAUGGUUAUUUGAUGUUUUUUAGUAUAAAAUUUUGAUGAUUGUAGUAUUUUUUUUCUUUGAGAAUCAUAAUAAAAAAAAUGAUAUUACAAGUUUGUGACGGAUUCGUGAGAAUAAAAAAAGUAUUUUAAUGCAUCAAUUUUGUGACGGAUUAGCUACAGAAAAAAUAUCAUGUCUAAAGUUUGCGACGGAUCAGCGACGGAACAAAAAAAAAAUAAUGUAUAAAUUUUGCAAGGGAUUAGCUAUGGAAAAAAAACUAUGUCUAAAGUUUGCGAUAGAUCAGCGACGAAAAAAAAAUAAUUUUGCAAGGGAUUUGCUACGAAAAAAAACUGAUCACGGAAAUUUGCGACAGAACAGCGACGGAAUGACUUUAUCAAAUUUUGUCGCUAAUGCCCUGAGUAAAUGUAUUGAGUGACAUUUAGCGACGGAUAUUCUGUCGCUACAUUUGUCGCAAGGAAAAACCUCUCCGUCGCUAAAACCCUCGCCGAGAAAUUAGC
rnacentral:lncRNA from 1 species